rnacentral:rRNA from 1 species
AGUGAACGCUGGCGGUAGGCCUAACACAUGCAAGUCGAACGGCAGCACAGGAGAGCUUGCUCUCUGGGUGGCGAGUGGCGGACGGGUGAGGAAUACAUCGGAAUCUGCCCAGUCGUGGGGGAUAACGUAGGGAAACUUACGCUAAUACCGCAUACGACCUUCGGGUGAAAGAAGGGGAUCGCAAGACCUCUCGCGAUUGGAUGAGCCGAUGUCGGAUUAGCUAGUUGGCGGGGUAAUGGCCCACCAAGGCGACGAUCCGUAGCUGGUCUGAGAGGAUGAUCAGCCACACUGGAACUGAGACACGGUCCAGACUCCUACGGGAGGCAGCAGUGGGGAAUAUUGGACAAUGGGCGCAAGCCUGAUCCAGCCAUACCGCGUGGGUGAAGAAGGCCUUCGGGUUGUAAAGCCCUUUUGUUGGGAAAGAAAUCUUUCAGGCUAAUACCCUGGGAGGAUGACGGUACCCAAAGAAUAAGCACCGGCUAACUUCGUG